rnacentral:lncRNA from 1 species
CGGGGCUGCACGAAGCAGGUGGAGGGCGGCUUCCACGUGGCAGUUUAGGUCUUGAUUGCUCCCAGACUGCAGGCUGCCCAGGCUCCCUCCACCCGGUCAGCAGGUGUUGUCUUUCCUUCCUAAGCGGUGCCUCUGAGGCUCUGGCAACCGCUUCCCUGCCUGCUCUUUCGGGCAGGCGGCAGCCUGGCCUUGCAGAAGCGCCUGGAGGCCUUGGUCCUAGCUCAUACCCUCCCUGGGUCUCUGGGAUCUGCCCGUCCCUGCCCAAGUGCCAGCCAAAGAAUCCAUCCCUGAUGGGUGGGCGGCGAGUCGGGCGCCUGUCACAGACUCCUGCUAGCACAAUGGAGGAGGAGGAGGAGGAAUGGUAGUACACACCUGCAAUCCCAGCCAGCUCUGAGGGCAAAGGAGCAGGGAAGACAGCGGGAAUGAGACAGACGAUGCUCUUCUGAACCUCCAGUGUGCCCCAGGAUCGCUCAGGUCAGCACAGGAUUUGUGGUUGACAUGUAUACAAGGCUCACAGGUAGCAUCUAGGAGGAAGUGGAUACUCUCUUAGGGCAGCUCUGGCCUCUUAAACUCCACAGGAGCAGGUCCUGAGCUGCUGGAGGAUGAUUUGCUGGCUCAUUUAGCAGCUGCAUGUGCAGAAGCCUAGACAGAGGAUGAGGUGACCCUAGAGGGCAGCUUCCUCCUAAGUCUGGGCUCGUGAGAGGCCAGGAGGCCAGGGUUAGAGGCCAGCUUGGGUGUGUGGUUUGGGGCAACCUUGCUUGUCAUGACCCCGGAUCCCCCAUUGUGUGCUGUGGUGCUUGGGGAUCCCUCUUCCCAUUAAAGAGAUGCUCAGUGCCUGAAAGGCAGUUAUAACAUCUGCCUUCCCAGCCCUCUGGUGUAGCUGAAACUGCCUACAUCGCUGAGCCUGAGCUUUGGUCAGGCACCUUUGAAAAGUGCUGUCUGUUGUGCUGGAUUUGAAUCAUAGCACUGGGUAUGUGGGUGGCUGUGGCAGAGGCAGUGGCAAUGGAAGUCCCAGAAGGGAAAAGAGCCUGGGUGACAUUAGAGACCACCUGGGAGCUGUCAUGGUUCCCUGGGCUCAUAUUUGUGAAUAAGGACCUCCAAGGGCUGGAUGUGCUGUGCUGCUCGAGGCUAGAGUAGAGGGUGGGGCCAGUCCUGGAGCUGCAGCUGCCAGGGCUUCGAAAUGGAGGCCACUAGGAUAGGUGGCUGCUCCAUGCUGCUGCCUAUGCCUAUCAAUGGCCCCCGGUGUGGGGGGCUUUCUAGAGGCAGAGUUAAUGUGAUGUUUCCCUUGUGUGGCCUGGUUUAAUGGUUCCCUUGUAUGGCUAGAGUUCAAUGUGGGCAGGGUGGAGGUUGUGGCUGUGCUGUCACAAUAGCCUGUG